ensembl:snRNA U6 U6 spliceosomal RNA
GUGCCCACUUUGGCAGCAUAUACACUAAAAUUAGAAUGAUGCAGAGAAGAGUAGCAGGGCCCCUGCACAAGGAUGACAUGUAAAUUCAUGAAGCAUCCCAUACUUGC